AAACCGUUUUUCUUAAAUAUGAGGACAAAGAGAAAGUUGCUGAUGUACCAGCGGUAUACCUUCAGCCAGUAUGCUCCAAGAUACUUUUAUUGUUCGAAAAAGGGAUUUGGCUGCAAAGCCGCACUUGUGCUCGACAAUGAGGGAUCAUUGCUUGUUAUGAAGAACUCCCAUAACCAUGAACCACCGAAAUACACGUGUAUUAAUGGCGUAUAUAUUAAAAUAUAAAAAAAGAUACUGGCACUUAGAUAGUCAUCAUCACCAUCGGAUCUUCAAGUUUUACUGGAGCAAUAUCUCCGAGGGCAGUAAUUUUACAAUAUGUGCUUUUACUUUGGAAGACAAAUAUUUGUGCCGCAUCAGUACAAUCCACUCUGUCUAUCUGUGCUUCAUUUCUGAACAAAAUGACUUAGUACGUAAUCAAUCUGUAAAUAUAUUAUUAAUUUUAUUGAAUGCUACAGCAAGAGUAUGGAAUAUAUUUACUGUUAAAUAAAGGCCUCCUCCUUUAGUCGUAGCCACUUAGAGCGCCUUCACAUUAACGUUUGUCCAGCGUAGGCGUUCGAUAAACGUAUGUGCUAAUCUUGUUUUUUGUAGUUAUCUUUGUGUUUGUACGUGCUAGUCUCGGAAACGGCUUAACCGAUUUGUGUGCAGCUUUAUUGUGUUGUGAAACGUACAAUAUGUAUUUUUAAUCAUGUAAAGAAUUAUAGGACAUAUAGGAUUUAGAAUAUAAUAGAAUAGAAUAACCCACCUAUGUAUCGUAUUUUAGUAAAUAAUUGCGUCUUAAUAUAUUGCUUUUAUUUAUCAACCUAUUAGAAUAUGACGAUAAUAUAAGUAAGUGAUAUCCAAAUGUUCCCGCAUCUCAAUUAUGACCCCGUUUUUUUAAAAACCUUUACUUAAAACAGAACGAAUUGGCAUUCUCUAGUCAUGACGGCGGGGCUUCGAAACUUCGUAAUUAUACCAAUUUGACAUUAUUAACGGGAUGAUAUCAAUAACUUGAUCUCUUGAGGAAAAUGUACUAAUAUAAAGUAAUACUAAAAUGAUUUUACUCUUUACAGCCAAUGUGAAGUUCAUACAACUAUUGGGCAAUAAGAUACUGUUAAUGGUGGAGAAUUUUACAUUUUCGCAGUAUAAGCCACGUUACUACUAUUGUUCGCAAAAGUUUAAGGGCUGUAAGGCUAGACUAGUGCUGAAUAAAGAUAAGACUCAGAUCAUCUCCAUGUAUAAUGAACAUGACCAUGUUCCUCCUGUCUAUAGACAGAUGCAUAAUGGACUUUAUUUUAAAGUUUAAGAUAAAGGCUUACCACCUAUCUCAGAGUCAUUUAAUGGUUACUUAACCCAGUCCUUAGCAAUUAUUUUCGGAAUAAAAUCGUUACUAAGGAGUAGUUUAAGUAAACAUUAAAUGCCUCUGAGUACGGCAGUUAAUGUUUAUUUCAGUGAUGCCAAAUAACUUAUUUUUUAUUUUGAUAGAUAGUAAAAGAAAGUGUUUUUGUGGAUGUUAGUAGUGAAUAGAAUCGUGAUUAUGAGUUUGAAUGUAAAGUGUGCCAUGUGAAUAUGUGUAUUUUAUUCUUAAGAAAAUUUAUUUAUGUGUAAAUAAAUCGUAAGAGUGGUUCCAAUAGCAAACAGCAAUUUGUUUAUUUUAUUUAAACCUAAAACGUAAGCGUCAAACUAAAACGUUGAGUUAUCUGUACCCUUAGUAUGAGUUAGCAUUACGUUUAAAGUAAUCGAAAGAAGAACGCGCUCUGUUUGGCCGGCUGGAAUAAACCAACCAAUCAGAGCGCCGAGCGCGCUCUCGUUUCGAUUACUUUAAACGCAUGGAAAUGGAAAGAGUUUGUGUAAGUGUCAAAAAACAUUACUUAUCUAUAGUUUAUUUUUUAUUUUUAUAUUAACUAUAGGUUCACGCUAAAAAAAAAGAAUAAAAUAAUAAUAAUAGUUAAAAUCGAAUAGAAAGACAAAAUGCGCACCUAGAAUUGAUGUUACAACCAUCUUGUUUCUAGGUCCAUACUGUGGUAUUACCGUGAAAAUUGAAAACAUGAAUACGAAAAAUUGUCCAAAAAAGAAAUUGGACAAGUCCAGCCCCGCUUAUGUUAGACAAAGGCAAUUAGCGAAUGCAAGAAAACGCAUAUAUCUGGACAAUUUAACGCCAGAACAGAAGGAAAUAAAGAAGGCAAAAGAUAGAGAAUAUUAUCACGAGAAAAAGAAGAAAAUGACUCAAUCGAGAUCUAUAUACAAUUUGACAGAAGAAGCACAACUUAAGUUACGGGCUCAAUGGAAAGAAAAUACUAAAAAAUACAGACAAAGAUGUAAAAUUGAACAAAAUUUUGAUACUGAUACUACUGAUUAAGAUUUCCGGAGCUGCGGACUACCUAGCGGUUUAUCGGGGCUCCGGCUCGAAGAGCAGGAGUAGGAACGGUGUGGAUUUUAGUCAGUAAGAGUCUGACACUUAUCAAGUUAUCACCCAAGGCGGGAGAACAUUGCAUGAUUAUACCCUCUCGAAAAAUACUGGUUAGAUUUUAAACAUUAUAACUUAAUUAAUGGUAUCCUUAUUCUUGGUAUAAUAAACCAUGAUUAUAAAACUAAUAUCUUAUACUCGUACUUAUUGUAUAAAGCUGAAGAGUUUAAUAAUUGCUAAUGUCCGGAAUUACAGCUCCGAUUUAAUAAUUAUUUUAGUCUUGGAUAGUCCAUUUAUCGAAGAAAGUUAUACGUUAUACAACACCACGCUAUGGAACCGAGCAGAACGGAGGAAACCCUCUGGAAAAAACUAGUUAAAAACAUUAAAGUAAAGUUUAUAAAUCUCGCAGCUAAUAAGAGAGUGUUAAUGGCCGAUGGGUAUACCUUCGCCCAAACGACUCCGAGACACUAUUACUGUUCUAAAAAAGGCAAGGGGUGCAAAGCAAGAAUAUUUUUAAAUAAGGACGACACUCAAAUUAUCUACUUUAAUAACGAACAUAAUCAUAAUGCUCCAGUAUAUAAGCUUACUAGUAAGGGGUAUUAUGUUAAGGUUUCUGGGUAAAUUGCCCUUUUUAUAUAGGCCCCAUUACUUACUUACUACUAAAGUUUGGGGAGGGGUCCCCAAACUUUUGAAUCCCAAAAUCCUCAAUUCCCUAACACUAAAAAAAUCGGCAUCGUGUUUGUAAGUUCCUCUAGUGUUAUGGACACCCGUCCAUGGGCGGCUCCAUAAAAAAUAUACCUACAGUAAAAUACUAAUCUUAAGGGCAGCUCGCCGUCCGAACAGAACCAGACCCGUGCGUACGGCGCGUCGCUAAGAGCCAUCAGACCACUACAGAUGGGGCCCAGUAGGUCUGUGGCUUACCCGAGUCUGUGUACUAUCUAGCAGCUAACCAAAGUUCUGGUGCGAAAUACAGUAGUAGGAACGGGCUGGUUUCUAGUCAGUAAGAGGCUGACACUCCCUCUCGCCUCACUCACUCACAGGCGGGAGAUCUUUGAAUGAUUUUCGCCCUCAAAAAGUGUGGGUGAUGUUAAAUUAGGACAAUUAAAAAGUAUUUUAAAACCUUGUCAAUUACGAGUUGUAAUAAUAUAUUUCAUUUUUCUUACGUAGAAUAUGAAAUAAAAGCUUUUUAUGGCAUAGUGUUUGGUCUAAAUUAGAUGUAAAUUAAUACUUGAAUAAUACGUAACGAUUCUCGGUUCUUUUGAUUGGAAAUAAAGCUUUGUAUUGAUCAACUAUUGUUUUCUUAUCGAAACUCCUUACGUAAUGAAAUUAUCUCCAUACCCUAACGUUCAAUAGGACAUACACCUUAAUAGGACCAUAUAUUUUUAAUUAUUAUGUUUUUCGGCUUACUCACGUAACUGUUUGACGAUCCGCUCGUCUAGUUUCAAGCCACAGUAGGGACUCCUAUUGAUGAGUCGUGUUGCACAAUUUUGUGACAGUCGCCGCUUCGUGUGAUGCGGAAUUUUGCUUGUGAAUAUGAACCCAUAGCGUGGCUUGAAAAUAGUCGAGUUCCUCGUUAAUUUAGUAUGUCUCACUAAAGUUGUAAUAUUUUUUUUUGUUACAGAAUUUAAGUUCAUAUCGACUGGUACAAAAAACAACUUGAUGAUGAUAGGUAACUAUACGUUUUCACAAAUGAACGGCGGAAGAAAUUGGUACUGUUCACAGAAGACCACUUUGAAAUGCAAGGCUCGGGUCACCAUGAAUGUGAAAAAGGGAAAGAUAUCGUCCUAUUUCAGUGACCAUAAUCAUGAACCAAAGAAAUACGUGGUGGCUCAUAGCGGAAAAUAUCAUUUCUUUUAAAAGUGUAUUUUAAAUUAACUAAAAAUCAAGGUUUACUAACGUACAUUAAUUGAGAAAAUCUCUACUAUUUUAGAGUCACAGAAGGACUCUACAUCAUGAGCAGGGGGACUCAGACGCGGCGACGUCGCGCCGCCUACUCUCCUACUGUAGCUUAGCUUUUCUCCAUUAAUGUACGUGAGUACGAUAGUUAUUAUAAAAAUAUUUGUACUUAGUGUAUUUUAACUUGUAAGCACAUUUUGCUGUCGUUUACCUACUGUAAGCUAACCUAAACCUAACCUAAAUCUAACCUAAACCUAACCUAAAUCUAACCUACACCUAAACUAUAGCCUUUGUAUCGUUUAGUCAUAGGAUCGAAUACUAGUAUGUGGUAAAGGCAUUUGUCAGAUUUUAGUUACAGAUCAUGUUUUAUUGUUAACUAUACAACUUUUGCGGUACAUGCAGCAUUUUGUGAUGUUGUUGAGUGCUGAUAAUGUCACCACAAUUCUAUAGUACCUUAGGAAUGCUAUGAUAAUUUCCCGUGAAUUGAUUUUAUUCAGUAAUUCCUUUGCUUCACUUUAGUAGUUUCACGUUAGCGAUCUACAAGCGUACUUGAAGCGGUGCGGUGACACGCGAAUUCAACGCGAUGCGGUGUGACCAAGCCAAUUGACCGCUCACCGCAUCCCACGUGCGGUUGGUCACGUAGGCGCCACGUCAAUACAUUUUGACAGUUUGUUGAUUUCGCGCCGGUACGGUGCGGCGCGAAAUCAACCGCUUCGCGUUCGCUUCUAGAUCGCUCAAGCAAGACGUCGCGUUAGUUGACUGGAUUUCGCGAUUGUGAACCGAUGUUGCAGUGUUUCUUUCUACUGGACUUUUGCAAUAUAUAAUGCAAUGCAUAAAAUUAGAAUAAAAAGUACAUAAUGUCAUACUUAAUAAUUAAUAGUAUGUAAAACACUAGAAAAUAGGCAUACCUGUACAUUAUAUACUGACGUAGAUGUAAGAAUUUGUAAGAAAAAUCACUUGAUUUGACUUAUCAUUUUGAUGUCAUAUUUGUUUUGUUUUUAUUAUUACUUAAUUUUAUAAUUUCGAUCUUAAACUGAAAUACUAAUAAGAUUAUUCAAAUAAUCGGUUGUAUUUUUUUAUAAUCUACCAUUGUUUGCCUAGAAAAGACAUAUCUUCCACCUGAUCUAACAACUUUGGUAUUAUACAUGUAAACUUAUGCAAAAUCAACGUUUUUUAAAUACACAUUUCUUGUUUAAUAAAAUUUAAAUAUUGUUUUAGA